rnacentral:rRNA from 1 species
GACGAACGCUGGCGGCGUGCUUAACACAUGCAAGUCGAACGAAGUGGCGAACGGGUGAGUAACGCGUAAUCAACCUGCCCUUCAGAGGGGGACAACAGUUGGAAACGACUGCUAAUACCGCAUACUGACGGCGGGGCUUGCGUCUGAGUAGCUAGUUGGAGGGGAAACGGCCCACUAAGGCGAUGACAAGUAGCCGGUCUGGUCGGAUGACCGGCCACAUUGGGACUGAGACACGGCCCAGACGCUGACGGGAGGCAGCAGUGGGGAAUCUUCCGCAAUGGACGAAAGUCUGACGGAGCAACGCCGCGUGAGUGAUGACGGCCUUCGGGUUGUAAAGCUCUGUUAAUCGGGACGCGGUACCGGAAUAGAAAGCCACGGCUAACUACGUGCCAGCCGCCGCGGUAAUAC